UACAGAGGGGGCAAGCGUUGUUCGGAAUUACUGGGCGUAAAGGGCUCGUAGGUGGCCAACUAAGUCAUACGUGAAAUCCCUCGGCUUAACCGGGGAACUGCGUCUGAUACUGGAUGGCUUGAGUUUGGGAGAGGGAUGCGGAAUUCCAGGUGUAGCGGUGAAAUGCGUAGAUAUCUGGAGGAACACCGGUGGCGAAGGCGGCAUCCUGGACCAAUACUGACACUGAGGAGCGAAAGCCAGGGGAGCAAACGGG
rnacentral:rRNA from 1 species